GCUGAUUGGUAGGUGGAGAGGGGUGCGCCAAGAUUUCCUCUCACCUGAUUGGUUGGAGCGGAAAGUCCCUCGCAUCUCCUCGGCCUCGGGGAGACCUUCAGCGCCCCAGAUUGCUGCGCUCGGGUCGGCGGAGGUGGUCUGCAUUCUGUUGGAUUCGAGCUUCGGCUGCACCGCGUAGGGGCCCGGCCGGGAACGCCUGGGCUCUCGUUGACGAAGCCUCGGGCCCUGGAGUUCACCAAAAGGGAGGAAGGAGUAGACAAGCCUUUAUCUCACUCAAGAGCAGAAGUAAAUGGUUGAUAUGAAAGUUGAAAAGAAGAGAGAGGGAGAGAGUACGUAGAAGGAGAGGGAGAAGCAGACUCUCUAUCAAGA